CCCAGGACGUGAGAGCAGAAACAGGAAAUCCAGGCAAUUUUGCUGGCUGUUCCCGGAACGGACAGGACAAAGGGACUAUAUUAAGGCUUCCCUGGGACUCUGGCCAUGUCUCCAAAGGAGGCCCCUGCAACACACGGGUGGGCUGGCUGCCAGGGCUGGCAGAAGGAGAUGUGUGCUGGAAAUAAACGAGGAGCUGUUUGCUUACAGAUCUUCCCCACCACCUCAUGGUCCCUGGAGAUGUGAGCAAGCAGCCCUGUAGCUACCACAGAUGGGAGCUGGUCCUGCGGUCAUGCCUUCCCCAUCAUGAUGGACUGGAUCCCUUGAGCCAUGAGCCAGCAUAAACCUUCUUCACUUCUGUUGCUCUUUGGCAGGUCAUAGCAAUCAGAAAAGUAGUACAGGCGUGCACCCACUUUUCUCGCAGAGAUAGGAGUGGCUGGAGGGGUUCUGGCUACAGCCAGGUUUCAGAAGGCAAUUUGGGAAGAAGUAACUGAAGGGCAAGUGCAGCUGGCAUGAUAACUAGACCCAGCAGUGGGCCUAGGCACCGGAGGGAAGCAGCAUUGGAGUCCUAGUGUACUGACAAGAGUGGGCAUUUAAGCAACUAUGAAGGUGUAAAGUAGGCAGAAAUCCCAGCUCUCAGGCCUGGUGGUGGACUUCUGACUUGGAGUGUCAUACUGUGGAGGCAGUUUCUUUAUCUCUAUUUUAUAUAUCAUGCUUGAAUCUAAUUAAACAGAACAGAAGGUGGAGGUUGGGAAGAUGGCUCAGUGGGUAAGGCAUUUGUCUUGCAACUGUGAAGACCUAAGUUUGAAUCUCUGAAAAACCUUGUAAAGCUGGACACAUCAUCCAUCAUUCCAGGAAUCCUACAGAGAGCUGGGAGACAGGGAUAGGAAAAGGCCAGCUAGGUGGAUGUACACACUGUGGAACAAAAGACCCUGCGGUAGCUUGAAUAAGAAUAGGCUCAUGUAUCUGAAUACUUGGGAUUCCGAGGUAUGACCUUGUUGGAGUAGGUAUGACCUUGUUGGAGUAGGUGUGACCUUGUUGGAAGAAGUGCAUCUCUCAGGGUGGGAUUUGAGGUUUCAAAAACCCAAGCCAGUCCCAAAGUCUCUCCUCCUGCUCAACCUGUGGAUCCAGAUAAAGAACUCUCAGCUACUUCUCCAGCACCGUCUCUGCCUGCACGUGAACAUGCUCCUCCCUGUGAUGACAAUGAG
rnacentral:lncRNA from 1 species